GGAUCUUGCAAUUUUGCGUCUUCUUCUGCUUUUUUAAUUAUUAUUACAAUAUUACUUAUAUUUUACAAAUGGGACCAAUCCAUCGACAACAUUUUUAUUUGAGGAGCGAUUUGUCUUACUAGCCUAGGUCUAGAUGCUUCCUAGCAAGUAGUGCAAGUUGGUGUAGAGAUUUUUAGAUAUCGGACCGAGCUUGUUGAAUAUGGGUUGUUCGCUUGUUAAGUGCACCACGGCUCACUAGUUGUAUGGGACAGUCCACUGCUAAGCAUAUUCUACUGUUAGAUGGACUUUUACUGAGCGUAUCCGUACGCGCCAAUUUAGUCUUUGUUGGUGAUAAAUUUGAGCAGCCUGUGACAUAUCAGUACCCUAAGAAACCCCAUUUUUACCAUGCAUGUUAACCCCUUGUUGUCAAACUUUAACACAACAAAGAGUAAGUAAUUCCGUUAGUCUUAU
rnacentral:lncRNA from 1 species